UUUCUUUUAGCGGUGUGCUGCGGGGUGACAGUUCUGAGGAGCAUCCUGUCUAACAAGGUGUAGCUGAUGGUUGUAGCUGAUGCAUAAACAUGUGCCCAUCACGCACACGCGGCCUCUCUCUUUCUUUUAAAUCCGUCUCAUACGAAAACACGUGGAGGAAACAAUUAAGUGUGUGGUUAUUGGGAUGUGCCACGUUGAGUUUGGGGACCUGUGCACACGAAGCCUGCCAGAAUGUGUCCGCCUCCUCCUCCUCCUCCUCCCACCAGAAGACAACGCCACGUUCAUUUUUUUGCUCCAUUUUCCAAACAUCUGAUUCUUUAACACGCCUCUCCGCCUGGAAGUCCCUUCCAUUCCUACUGUUUCAGGUGUCUCUUUUUUUUUUCCCUUUUUUUUUUUUUUUUUUUUCAAAUCCUCAAUCCUGUUGCGAGGUGCCUCUCAGAAGUUGAAAAGUUCUUUUCAAGCCCAAAGUUUUUGCCGUCUUCACUUUUCAACUGGCAAGAUGAAUAUCGGUGGGACAAAGCACAGAGAGGAAAGGCUUUUUGACAAGACUUCAGAAGGCCCAGGAGCUCGUCCUGUCUCUCCCUUUUGCAGUCUCGCACGGCUGCCGAAAAAGACGCGGAAUCAAAUGCAAACUGAGGAGUCGCAAUCUUUUAAGCUACAUCAGUGAGGCCCUUGUGGAGAUGCUGCUCUGCUUAGGUUUUUCACAACUUUUGAAAAAUGAGAAAUUGGCGCAUUCUCUUUUGUGUUAUCAGAGCCGCUGACAGUAAGUUCAUGUUCCGUAUGUGCAGGAAGACGAUGCCGCGGAUAUAUGACCCGGAGUGAAGUCGAGUGUGAAGAUGCGGCUUGUCAAGACUGUGUCGGCUUUAGGAGGAGACGUCGUAAGAGCGGAGCUUACACCCAGCGCAGAAUAAUUCUCCCUCAUUCAGCCUCCUACACCACAUCAUAGCUGCUAGCUAUUAGUCAACUUUUAAAGUUGCCUGUAUUGUCGUCAGUCUACUAACCGGUGAUAAACGGUUCCACAGAAACAGCGUGAACCGCAGCAUAUUAGUAAUGAUUACAAAAAAAACGCACCAGCAGCAUAAGCCUCUUCAGCCUUUAGCUUUAACAGACUUUCGACUUGUUUUAAGAUAAAUCAAGCGUGGGGUCUAAAUGACUUGUCAGGAUAAUUUGAGGAUACUAUUACAAAUGAAACAUUUAGUUUGUGGAUGUGGAGCUUUUCAUCUUGAGAUGAAUACAACUGUUUAUCUUAUAUGAACUGAAUGAAUCACAUAACCACAAGACUCACGCUGAGAUUUGCAAGCUAAUACCCGGCCCGAAUGUUUGAAGUGGGGUUUUCCACUGACUGCCUUUUUAAGUCGUCUCCCCGCACCUCUCUCCCCCCGUCGGCAAACUCCGGGAACAAUAGAGGGGACAACAGACAGGCAAUAAUAAAGGGAAGAGGAAGGGAAGAGGAGAAUUUGCAGCCGGAUCUACGCUUCCUGGGUCUCCGCUGCCCCAGAGGCCUUUCCAGGGCCUCCUUACGUGGCACCCGUCCAUGCACGGGAUUUGAAACUGAAAUGAGACUGACUUUGAUGGGAUCUCCCUGCAGCUAAAGUACUAGGACACAACAUGCAUUCAAGUGGGCACUGAGCGGUGGAUGAGAGAGAGUUUCCACACAGUGUCAUCUUUCUCAUUUUUGCACCACAGGGCGUCAGGAUGUCUGGGUUUGUUUUUAGAUUUAAGACGGGCAGUGUGUAACAGUAAUCUAAAGAAGAGACUCACGUGUGUCCCUAAUUUCUAUUCGUAACUCUUGCGACCCCCGUUAUCAAUCUAAACUGUUACAUCAACAUGCUUUGUUAAUGUACAACCUGUGCAAUUCCUCCUCUAUUUACUAUAUUUAUUUUGUAUUGUCUUUUUCAAUUUCUUCAUAUGUGCGAACAUACAAUAAAGACGAUUCUGAUUCAGA